rnacentral:lncRNA from 1 species
CUCUCUCCUCCGCCGCAUCUCCGCCCUCGAUCUUUAGAGGAGCGAUGAGUGAAGUCGGGAGCUCAGCCUUGGUCGUAUAUGGGGUUUGAAGAAAAUGAUGUGCUGUGGGCUAGGGGUUGGUGUUUAGGACUUUUUUUAGUCAAAAGAAUGGUGUCGUCGACUUUAGGGGUACAGGAGAGAGAUUCGAUUUGAAUAUGGGAGAAGUCCAGUGAGGAAUUUAGCUUCUAAAUUCAUGAUGAUGAUACUUUUUGCUGUUGAUUUUGUAAUCGACGUUCUUUGUUUUCCUUCUCUCAUUUGCUACCAAAUCCAAUUGGUAAAUCCAUGUUAUUUCUCUUUCUCUCUCUCUCUCUCUCAUUUCUCACUCCUCAAACCACAAUCCCCAAAUCUGUCAUUUCUCACUCCUCAAACUGAUUUUGAUCCUGAUUUUGAUCUCUCCAAUCGCGAUUUGGUAAGCUCAAUUUUGUUAAAUCUAGGUUUUUGUAGUCAUGUUUAUAUGUGAAUUCGUUUUAUCUGAAAUGAUAUGAAUGAUUUUGUUGCAGAUAUGCUCAUGGAUUUUGAAGAAAUUGAUGCAGAUGAGGGCGAGAAGCUUGAUGACGAACUUGUAUGUGAGAAGCAUGUUGGAAUAUAAGAAAUCUAGGUGAAGUUAGUUUGAAUUUGUUGAAUUUAACUGAUUUUGGGGCUAAAGAGACCACUGGUUGUACUGGAUUAAAUGAGGAUUAUGGAUCUUGUUCUUGUGAAGAACUCUUGGCCGAUUUUAAAGCAGAAAUUGGUGAAGCUUGAAAAAUAUCUGAAUUACAUUUUGGAAGAAGGUAAGGAUGGGUAACAAGUCAUAUCUGAAUUGUGUACUUUAAACUUAAAGGGAAAGGUUUGUUGACCUUGGGGAGAUUGAACUUGUAUGUGAACUUGUAUGGAUACCGAAAAUGUUGGAUAUCAUGCUUGGCUUUCCCGAUCUCUUGAUUCCACAGGUGAAAACAGAGUAGUCAUUUGGUAAUGGUGGUACCAAAACAGAGUAGUCAUUGAAACUGAGUAGCUGGGUGAAGAAUUGGCAUGGAUUUGGCAUUUUGGUACAAAAAUUUUUUUCCCACUAAUUUAGUUGCAAUUAUGUUGUUGGGCAAAGUCAAAUUCCUCUAAGAAUUGGCAUGGACUUGGCAUUAUGUUUUUUUCCACUAAUUUAGUUUCAAUGUUCAGGUUUAUUAAAAUUUAAUCAUUUAAAAUAAUUAUUCUAUGUUUGUAGUAUUUUCUACAAACAUUGAUAUUACA